rnacentral:rRNA from 1 species
UACGUAGGGGCCUAGCGUUGUCCGGAAUCAUUGGGCGUAAAGAGCGUGUAGGCGGUCCGGUAAGUCCGCUGUGAAAGUCGGGGGGCUCAACCCUCGAAUGCCGGUGGAUACUGUCGGGCUAGAGUGCGGAAGAGGCGAGUGGAAUUCCUGGUGUAGCGGUGAAAUGCGCAGAUAUCAGGAGGAACACCAAUGGCGAAGGCAGCUCGCUGGGACGGUACUGACGCUGAGACGCGAAAAGCGUGGGGGAGCAAAACAGG